rnacentral:rRNA from 1 species
GACGAACGCUGACGGCGUGCUUAACACAUGCAAGUCGAACGGUGAAGCGCCUUCCUUUUUGGUGGGUGUGGAUGAGUGGCGAACGGGUGAGUAACACGUGAGUAACCUGCCCCCUUCUUCUGGAUAACCGCAUGAAAGUGUGGCUAAUACGGGAUAUUCUGGGUCUGUCGCAUGAUGGGUCUGGGAAAGAUAUUGUUUCGGUGGGGGAUGGGCUCGCGGCCUAUCAGCUUGUUGGUGGGGUGAUGGCCUACCAAGGCGGUGACGGGUAGCCGGCCUGAGAGGGUGGACGGUCACACGGGGACUGAGACACGGCCCAGACUCCUACGGGAGGCAGCAGAGGGGAAUAUUGCACAAUGGGCGCAAGCCUGAUGCAGCGACGCCGCGUGAGGGAUGGAGGCCUUCGGGUUGUGAACCUCUUUCGCCAGUGAAGCAGGCCUGCCUCGUUUGUGGGUGGGUUGACGGUAGCUGGAUAAGAAGCGCCGGCUAACUACGUG